GAUGAAGAACGCAGCGAAAUGCGAUAAGUAAUGUGAAUUGCAGAAUUCAGUGAAUCAUCGAAUCUUUGAACGCACAUUGCGCCCCCUGGUAUUCCGGGGGGCAUGCCUGUCCGAGCAUCAUUACAACCCUCAAGCUCAGCUUGGUGUUGGGCCCCGCCGCCCCGGCGGGCCCUAAAGUCAGUGGCGGUGCCGUCCGGCUCCGAGCGUAGUAAUUCUUCUCGCUCUGGAGGUCCGGUCGUGUGCUCGCCAGCAACCCCCAAUUUUUUUCAGGUUGACCUCGGAUCAGGUAGGGAUACCCGCUGAACUUAAGCAUAUCAAUAAGCGGAGGA
rnacentral:misc_RNA from 1 species